CGAAGGUCACUUUCGGCCGCCGAACAUUGCAUGGUUUCGGAUUCACGUUCGGCUGCCGAAGGUGGUCUGGCCAGCCACCUAUUUAAGGGCCAAAGGUCGGUGGAAGGAGGAUAUUUCUCCUCCACUUGCAGCCAGAGGUGAGUUCAAGCCUCUCCUACGUUGACUUUCAUGUUUUUCAUGUUUUUCACCAAAUCUUUCAAGGGUUUUAAGAG
rnacentral:lncRNA from 1 species